AUUCUGGUUGAUCCUGCCAGUAGUUAUAUGCUUGUCUCAAAGAUUAAGCCAUGCAUGUCUAAGUACACACGAAUUAAAAGUGAAACCGCAAAAGGCUCAUUAUAUCAGUUAUGGUUCCUUAGAUCGUUAACAGUUACUUGGAUAACUGUGGUAAUUCUAGAGCUAAUACAUGCAAUUAAAACAUGAACCUUAUGGGACAUGUGCUUUUUAUUAGGCUAAAACCAAGCGAUCGCAAGAUCGUUAUAUUGGUUGAACUCUAGAUAACAUGCAGAUCGUAUGGUCUUGUACCGACGACAGAUCUUUCAAAUGUCUGCCCUAUCAACUUUUGAUGGUAGUAUCUAGGACUACCAUGGUUGCAACGGGUAACCGGGGAAUCAGGGUUCGAUUCCGGAGAGGGAGCUUGAGAAACGGCUCCCACAUCUAAGGAAGGCAGCAGGCGCGUAAAUUACCCACUCCCAGCUCGGGGAGGUAGUGACGAAAAAUAACAAUACAGGACUCAUAUCCGAGGCCCUGUAAUUGGAAUGAGUACACUUUAAAUCCCUUUAACAAGGACCAAUUGGAGGGCAAGUCUGGUGCCAGCAGCCGCGGUAAUUCCAGCUCCAAUAGCGUAUAUUAAAGUUGUUGCGGUUAAAACGUUCGUAGUUGAACUUGUGCUUCAUACGGGUAGUACAACUUACAAUUGUGGUUAGUACUAUACCUUUAUGUAUGUAAGCGUAUUACCGGUGGAGUUCUUAUAUGUGAUUAAAUACUUGUAUUUUUUCAUAUGUUCCUCCUAUUUAAAAACCUGCACUAGUGCUCUUAAACGAGUGUUAUUGUGGGCCGGUACUAUUACUUUGAACAAAUUAGAGUGCUUAAAGCAGGCUUCAAAUGCCUGAAUAUUCUGUGCAUGGGAUAAUGAAAUAAGACCUCUGUUCUGCUUUCAUUGGUUUUCAGAUCAAGAGGUAAUGAUUAAUAGAAGCAGUUUGGGGGCAUUAGUAUUACGACGCGAGAGGUGAAAUUCUUGGACCGUCGUAAGACUAACUUAAGCGAAAGCAUUUGCCAAAGAUGUUUUCAUUAAUCAAGAACGAAAGUUAGAGGUUCGAAGGCGAUCAGAUACCGCCCUAGUUCUAACCAUAAACGAUGCCAGCUAGCAAUUGGGUGUAGCUACUUUUAUGGCUCU
rnacentral:ncRNA from 1 species